rnacentral:rRNA from 1 species
CUAGCGGCGGACGGGUGAGUAACGCGUGGGUAACCUGCCCUAUACAGGGGGAUAACACACCGAAAGGUGUGCUAAUACCCCAUAAUACUGAAGCUUCCCAUGGAGCAUCAGUCAAAGAUUUAUCGGUAUAGGAUGGACCCGCGUCUGAUUAGCUAGUUGGUGAGGUAAUGGCUCACCAAGGCGACGAUCAGUAGCCGACCUGAGAGGGUGAUCGGCCACACUGGAACUGAGACACGGUCCAGACUCCUACGGGAGGCAGCAGUGGGGAAUAUUGCACAAUGGGGGAAACCCUGAUGCAGCAACGCCCCCGUGAGCGAUGAAGGCCUUCGGGUCGUAAAGCUCUGUCCUAUGGGAAGAACAAAUGACGGUACCAUAGGAGGAAGCCCCGGCUAACUACGUGCCAGCAGCCGCGGUAAUACGUAGGGGGCAAGCGUUAUCCGGAAUCACUGGGCGUAAAGGGUGCGUACGCGGUCGACAAAGUCUGGGGUGAAAGGCUACGGCUCAACCCUAGUAAGCCUUGGAAACUUGUUGACUCCAGUGCAGGACAGGUAAGUGGAAUUCCUAGUGUAGCGGUGAAAUGCCUACAUAUUAGGAGGAACACCCCCUGGCGAAGGCGACUUACUGGACUGUAACUUGACGCUGA